GCCAAGUACUGAGAAGUGGUUCCACUGGCCUAUCCACCUCCCACCUCGUUUCAGAGGCCUAAACUUUGGAAUGGAUAGACUAAGCACAUCAGUUUGUUUGGGGAAGACUAGAAAGGUUUGGCAGAUACAUCAAGCCAGUUCAUUAAUGCACAGAUGAUUCCUUCACAUUAAGAAAGACACGUUGGAGCACCAUAAAUGUCAAGGCAGUUAUUACACACAAAAAGCAUAAAAUGGCAACCAUCAAAAGAUUCAUAGCCAAAAGGGACUUGCCUUAUCUCAGUUGAGGCUUUGGACUUGGAACUUUGAGAAUAACCAGCAAUGUUCCAGAAAUUAUCUGCUCUCUCGCCCUGGUCUCAACUUGCAGAAGAUGGGAAGCAGAGCUCCCAGCCUGCCCAAGAUGAACAUGUGGUAUAGACAAGAAAUACACCUCUGU